UAUUUAUAAGAAGAAACACUUAGGAUUAUUCACAAGACGAUACAUUCAUAAUUUAUUUACAAGGAGAUACAUUUAGAAUUUGAUCACAAGAAAGAUAUGACCCAUAUUAUACAAGGAAAAAAGUGAAAAUCUACUUUAUUCUAUAAAUAGAUACUCAAUGUUGAAGAAGAAAUCACGAACUCAUAAACCCAUAAAUCGAUACAAUUCAGAAAAACUUUUGAGAGCUCAAAUUUUCUAAGUCUUCAAAGUUCAAGUGUUUUAGUGUGAGAAAUCAAUUGUAGCAGUCUGCUUAAUAGUAGCAAAACACAAUUCGUUCCAAAUUUGUGUAACCCAACCCGAUAGUGGCUUUAGUGUUCCUUAAGCAAUAUGUGGUUUUUGGAUUGUGUUGAGAAAACUUGACUUGUUAGGUCAAGGUUUAGUUUCCUUCAACAAUUUGUAGUUUUUAUGUUGUGUGGCGAAGACUUGACUUGUAGGAUUAGGUGUUGUGUAAUUGAAGGAUUUGAAUUAGUGGUUAAAUCCUUCUAAGUGAAUGGACAUGAUGUAGCUACCAAGUUGGUGGUUAACCAGGAUACAUUUGUUUGUGUCACUUUACUUAUGCACUCUUUACUUUAUGGUUGCCUCUGAUUACUUAAGUUUAAUUGUUAUUGCCUCUAUUUUAAUUAAAAUAUCCAAACUCGAACCAGUUCUUGAAUAAAUAAUUAAAAGAAAUUCAACUUAGACAAACACAAUUCAACCCCCCCUUCACGCUUGAGCUUCAACCCCUCCUGGCUGGUGAUAAAAUCCAACUCAAUACCUACCUUUUGAGCCAAUAAAGGUUUUAGCUCACCAUCAAAACGCGUGGACUCAGUAUAUAAGAUAACUAUUCACGUUUUGCUAUUGGUGUUUACGCACCGCUUACGUUAAUCGCUAUAACAUCAAAUUGGUUUCUUCUUCAACGUCAGAAUGAGAGGAUUUAUUUCCAAAUCUUUGUCGAACCAUGGUGGAAAUGUGGCAAUCUCAAAAUGUAGAGCUAGGUCAUCGAAAAAGUUUUUUUGAGGGUACCUCUCUUCUAUGCAAAAAAAACAUGGUCUAAUUCACCAACAACUCAAGAAUUAAGAAAACUCUAGUGGUGGCUAACAUAGUAUAUUUGAGAUAAUGAAUAAAAGUUUGUCCGGUCCUUUUAGUUUUUACAUUAGUUUUUACAGUGGCUAACCUGCAAUAUUGAACAUCUUUAUCCUAUUAACCUUUCAAGAUGCAAAUGAAACCUUUGUCAAAAAUUAAAUAAAAUUCAAGAGACCUCUCGUGCGCCAAUCCAAGACCUAGUUGGCAAUGAUUUUUUGACAAGAUAUCAUUCCAUGACUCUAAGAC
rnacentral:lncRNA from 1 species